rnacentral:rRNA from 1 species
AGUGAACGCUGGCGGUAGGCCUAACACAUGCAAGUCGAACGGCAGCACAGUAAGAGCUUGCUCUUACGGGUGGCGAGUGGCGGACGGGUGAGGAAUACAUCGGAAUCUACUUUUUCGUGGGGGAUAACGUAGGGAAACUUACGCUAAUACCGCAUACGACCUACGGGUGAAAGCAGGGGAUCUUCGGACCUUGCGCGAUUGAAUGAGCCGAUGUCGGAUUAGCUAGUUGGCGGGGUAAAGGCCCACCAAGGCGACGAUCCGUAGCUGGUCUGAGAGGAUGAUCGGCCACACUGGAAGUGAGACACGGUCCAGACUCCUAAGGGAGGCAGCAGUGGGGAAUAUUGGACAAUGGGCGCAAGCCUGAUCCAGCCAUACCGCGUGGGUGAAGAAGGCCUUCGGGUUGUAAAGCCCUUUUGUUGGGAAAGAAAAGCAGCAGGUUAAUACCCCGCUGUUCUGACGGUACCCAAAGAAUAAGCACCGGCUAACUUCGUG